CGCGGUGGCGCAGCGGUUAGCGCUGUCGCCUCCCAGCAAGAAGGUCCCGGGUUCGAACCUCGGCUUGUGG
rnacentral:tRNA from 1 species